GUCGCGCACAUGGGCCAAAGCCCAACGAACCCACUUCUCCUUUCGCUGUUCAAUCGUAUCUUCCUCUCGACCCUAUCUCCACCGCCGCCAUUGAUCCCAACACCACCACAUCGCAGGAGCGCGUACAGAGGACGGCGGCGCGGAGAGUGGCGCCGACCCAUGCCACUGCUGGCCUCCUCCUCGAGCCGGCCUGGACGGAGUGUUGUGGGAAGCUUCUUCGGGAUAUAGAUGCUCAGGGAAUGGAGGGGGAGGGAUGAGAUUUGUGCAGAUUUUGCUUCUUCCUCCUCUCUCUGUCUUUUCCUCUCGAUCUAUCUCCUCCAUGCCUCGGAGAAGCGGAUCAAGUUGCAGCGGCAGUGGCAGCACGGGGCUGAGGGAACACAGUAGGAGGGGGUGUCAGCCAAGGAGGGUGUCCGCUGCAGCUAUAACCGCUCUGAUGUCCAUACCAUCCAGAUCGAUGCCACCCCAAUAGCAGAAUCUGAAGAACAAGGUGAUCUGGUUCUUGGAGAGAUAAUAUUGCUUCUUGUCACCGGAGGAUUUUGUAGCGGGCCUAUAUGAUGAGUAUCUUCGUAAAUAUGGCUCUGUGAAUGUCUGGAGAUAUUGCACAAAAAUAUUCGACUAUUUAAGUUUGUCUGCUCUUAUUGAGAACUAAAUCUUCAGUAUCCAUGGAGGUUUUCCCCUGCUAUCACGACACUGGAUCAGGCAAACAAUACAGCAGUGACAACUCAGAGGGCACCAAUGCAGCAGUGGCUGGCACUCAUGCAUGCAUAGUGUACAACAUGAAACUUGUUGCUUUGAAAUCCGGUGCAUCUCCAUAGUAAAUAGUGAAGAUAGGAGUUUAACAGAUCAUAAUAGUAGCAUACAUUAUGCUUUGAGCAGAUCAUAGGAGUUUUAAUCUUUCUCCAGUAUAUAUGUUCAGUCUUUUCAGUAAUAUAAAUGUAUCUCCGUCAUUGGAAGGUUAUCUGGUUCUUCCACUAAUUUUUCCAUUGGUUUCAAAAAAUGGGAGUGACUCCUAUACACUUUGAGCAACCAGUUCAUAGAGAUUAUUGCGGGUGUCUCCAUGAUGUUAGCAUUGCUACAAUGGACAAAUACAGAGUCGUUGUUAUUGAUGAUGAAAGCUGUCAGAGUUUGUUUGGUGCUCAGAAAAUAAUACAUGGAAUCUUGCUCAUGUUAUUGAACCAGAGAAGUCAGGGUUCGCUGACAAAUUAUGUUUGGUUGGACAGUGGUAUUUUUCUGAUUCAUCAUUAACACGUAGCAUAUUGGCAUGCAGGUUGUUAAAAGUAAAUCCCCGGCUUACUUCUAUGGAGAACAUACUAUGUUUAUAGUCGUAUAUAAAUGUUUAUGGUUUGAACAUUGAACCAUGGCAGAAGAAUUUUGCACUCCACGCCACCUGGUCACUAUGAAAGAUCCGUCCUCUAUACCAAUUGCAGUUGCCAUGGCUGGACUGACCUUGCCAUUAGUCCAUUUGCUCUGGUACAUGGUGAGAGUAUUUAUCAAGCUAGGAGAAGAUUCAGAUAUUGCGGAGUUUUGUACUGCAGUGCACCUACUCUCGUCCAUGGCGAGAAUAUAUAUGGAGCGAGGCCAAUAUUUAAAUAUUGAUGUCGAGUCUCUCGACUCUCGAGAGGGUGUAUGACUGUAAGUUGUGCAUUGGUCCUUGUACUACAAGGAGUACGUAUGCAGUUACUCCAAGCUAGGAUUGGUGCAUGAUGAUAGCGAGAGAAAGUGCGCGUCAUGUGAUGCGGUGCAUCUGCUGUGGUUUCUUAAUCUGUGAAAAAGAUCAAGGAAUCUACAUAAGGAGAAGAAGAGGGGUUGUUUGAGUCGAGUGUUGCAGACUGCAGAUCAAGGAAUCUACAUCAACAAUUAGCUAUUGAGCCAAAUGCCCAUAUCUAGGUGCUUUUGUUCCUUGUAUUGACUGUUUUCUGCAAAUUAUUUUCUUACUAUCAUGAUGUAGUUCUCCGACUGUUUUUUAAGGAUAAAACAACCCCACUGCAAUUUUUAUUGAUUAAUAUAAAGGAGUUUACAAUGUACAAGAACUACAAAGAAAGAAAGCAGAAAAACAAGAACUAGAAAUGAUUUGUAGUUCUUCGACUAUUACAAAUAAAUAAUUUGUGGUGUGAAUUUUAUAGUUCAAAGAGCAUUAAUAUAUUAUAUUUAAUAGGUUA